rnacentral:rRNA from 1 species
GCACAGGUGCUGCAUGGCUGUCGUCAGCUCGUGUCGUGAGAUGUUCGGUUAAGUCCGCUAACGAGCGCAACCCUCGCUGUGUGUUACAAGUGUCACACGGUACUGCCGGUCUUAAGCCGGAGGAAGGUGGGGAUGACAUCAAGUCAGCAUGGCCUUUAUGUCCUGGGCUACACACACGCUACAAUGGCCAACACAAUAGGUUGCUAAGCCGCGAGGUGGAGCCAAUCCUCAAAGUUGGUCUCAGUUCAGAUUGCAGGCUGCAACCCGCCUGCAUGAAGAUGGAGUUGCUAGUAACCGCAGGUCAGCUAUACUGCGGUGAAUACGUUCCCGGGGCUU